rnacentral:rRNA from 1 species
UACGGAGGGUGCAAGCGUUAAUCGGAAUUACUGGGCGUAAAGCGCACGCAGGUGGCUGAGUCAGUCGAUUGUGAAAGCCCUGGGCUUAACCUGGGAAUUGCAGUCGAUACUACUCAGCUAGAGUAUGGGAGAGGGUAGUGGAAUUCCCGGUGUAGCGGUGAAAUGCGUAGAUAUCAGGAGGAACACCGGUGGCGAAGGCGGCCACCUGGACGGUUACUGACGCUGAGACGCGAAAGCGUGGGGAGCAAACAGG